rnacentral:rRNA from 1 species
AGUGAACGCUGGCGGUAGGCCUAACACAUGCAAGUCGAACGGCAGCACAGUGAGAGCUUGCUCUUACGGGUGGCGAGUGGCGGACGGGUGAGGAAUACAUCGGAAUCUACUUUUUCGUGGGGGAUAACGUAGGGAAACUUACGCUAAUACCGCAUACGACCUACGGGUGAAAGCAGGGGAUCUUCUGACCUUGCGCGAUUGAAUGAGCCGAUGUCGGAUUAGCUAGUUGGCGGGGUAAAGGCCCACCAAGGCGACGAUCCGUAGCUGGUCUGAGAGGAUGAUCGGCCACACUGGAACUGAGACACGGUCCAGGCUCCUACGGGAGGCAGCAGUGGGGAAUAUUGGACAAUGGGCGCAAGCCUGAUCCAGCCAGACCGCGUGGGUGAAGAAGGCCUUCGGGUUGUAAAGCCCUUUUGCUGGGAAAGAAAAGCAGCAGGUUAAUACCCCGCUGUUCUGACGGUACCCAAAGAAUAAGCACCGGCUAACUUCGUG